rnacentral:tRNA from 1 species
GGAGGGGUGGGUGAGCGGUUGAAACCACCGGUCUUGAAAAUCGGCGACCCGCAAGGGUCCGGGAGUUCGAAUCUCCCCCCCUCCG